rnacentral:tRNA from 1 species
AAGUAAGAAGCAAAUAAUUGUAAUCAGUUUCGACCUGAUAUAAGAUAUAAUCACAUAUCCUUAUUUU